rnacentral:rRNA from 1 species
UACGUAGGGGGCAAGCGUUGUCCGGAUUUAUUGGGCGUAAAGAGCGUGUAGGCGGCUAGAUAGGUCCGUUGUGAAAACUCGAGGCUCAACCUCGAGACGUCGGUGGAAACCGUUUGGCUAGAGUCCGGAAGAGGAGAGUGGAAUUCCCGGUGUAGCGGUGAAAUGCGCAGAUAUCGGGAAGAACACCCGUGGCGAAGGCGGCUCUCUGGGACGGUACUGACGCUGAGACGCGAAAGCGUGGGGAGCGAACAGG